UGCUAUGCCAACAUAUUGCCAUCU
rnacentral:ncRNA from 3 species